GAGGGUGGCCACUCAAGUGACCCUCUUCUUCUCUCCUUUCUUAGGUACUCCCCUUUUUUCCUUCUCUCCUUUCCCCAUCCCUCUUACCAUCUUCAUUACCAGGCCUACCCGACUUGCCCCCAGCCUGACCCUUUGAGCUCUUUCUUAUCACCCUCCCCUUGGCUUACCGUCCUCCAUGGACACUGGCCUCACAGUUGAACAGACCAAAUAAGCUGCCCCCUCACCGCUUGCACUGGCUGCACCCCCAGCAGCUGUAGUGGUGCCCGGCUACUUACUUGCUUUGCCCUCCCUCUGGGUCCCCACUCUAAUGUCACCUACACAGAAAGGCCUUUUGUAACCACUCUGUCUACAUUUUAAGUAUUAUCUACCAUGUUCUCUGUCUCCUUCCUCUGCCUUUUCUUUUCCUUCAGAACAGUUAUCACUAGACUUGUCAUAUUUGCCUCAGAUCUUUCUAAAAUAAAAAAAAAAUAUACAUGAAGGUCCUUUUUCCAUCUCCCCCAAUAUCACUCUCUUUUUCCUCUUUUACCAAAGGAACUCUCAUAAUUCUGGUCUCUGAUUCACAUAUUCUUCUACUUACUUACUUACUCAUUUAUUUAUACUUCAUAUGUGUGGGUAUAAACAACAGACAGGAAUUGCUUUUUCUGUUUGUUUUAAAUAUUAUUUUAUUUUAUUUUAAUUUUUUGUAAUGUUUUGUUUAUUUUUGAGAGACAGAGACAGAGCACAAGCAGGGGAGGAGCAGAGAGAGAGGGAGACACAGAAUCCAAAGCAGGCUCCACGCUCUGAGCUGUCAGCCCAGAGCCCGACAUGAACCGCGAGAUCAUGACCUGAGCCGAAGUUGGACGCUUAACGGACUGAGCCACCCAGAUACUUGUAUUCCACAUGGAUCUGCUCUGGCUCACUUUUCUAGCCACAACGAGUGCUCUCUUCUCCCCUUAGGUGCUGACGCAUUUAUCCUGGAAUUUUACCUGGCCGAUUAGAAAUCUUUAGUCCUUGUGGGACCUAAUUCUGGGGAUGGUCUGUAAUUCUGGAAAGCCACGAGAAAAUAAAA